CAGGUUCAUUGGUGGCUCCACCAAAGCAGUGUACAGAUAGAGGGGAAAUCGGCAGUGCCCAGGACGUGGAUAAACGUAUGGCCGUGGCCUGACCUGGGCUUCGCAGUUAUCACUGCAUUCAAGGCGCCUCGAUGGACAGGUUCCACGUCAGCACGCCCAGCAGUGAAAAUUCCUGCCGUGAAAAAGGGUUAUCGCUUGAGCCACAAGGACCCACGAUGAUAGCCGUCCGCAAUGGCAGGAAUGAUUAGGCUGGAAGGGCUUGUGAUUGGCCUGGACGAAGUUGGAAACGCCAGGGUCUGGAUACACCGGCUGUAAGAGCCUGGCUCAGGACUAAUAGAUAUUUCCGAGUAGGGACUCCAUUCCUUAUUAUCAUUUCAUUGUCGAGGCGAAUAUCGUACAUGCAGUACAUAGAACUAUCUUAGUCAUCUUUGCGGCUAUAACCGUACUCAGCAGUACAUGGCCACGGGUAUGGCUGUAACGAUCCUGUACACAUACUCGAUUCCGUACGCCAUCUUGUACACGUCUGCCCGUUCACGGCCAGACCGGUAUCGUAACUCUUCUCCCUAAGGUGCGAUUCUCUUAUGCAGGAAUAUCUACUAUUGUACGGCAUCUCAUCCGAGCGCCUCAGAGGGACUGCAAGCGACUGUAAGGGAAACCCCCGGUGUUUAUCAACACCUUCAUAAGUGGACUAGUCGCCUAUCCGUCUAAGUGACCAGGUAGGCUCUCACAUUGGUGCAAAUUGCUAGGAGGUGGGAACUCCCCGGACCGAAUCCGGUUACGAACAUAGCGCACUCCAGGCACGAUGCAGCAUACUCCUAUCCCAAAGGUGGAUGCCCGGGUGGGCGAGAAGUCUACCAGCUGAGUAAAUAUAAAGGCCUCCAUCUCGGACGGAGACUAACGAAAAUGUUUCAACAAAUUUGUAACUCUACGGGAUUCCAAACAACCAUAAUCCUACGGGAUAUAUCCGGGGGCGCCCGAGGACGUUAGCUCGAGGGGGGAAAGGAAUGUAAGAAGGGUUCAGCUCCCUUGGCAUCUCCCUGAGUACUCUUUGCCUGGUCUUACACCGGCCGCCGCUGCUGCCAUAAUGCUACUAAUGCGUCAUUUGGUAACUGGCAGGCGCCAUGCGGCGUGGUGUUCCCUAAAGCUACAUAACCACCGUAACCCCAGCAGGGCUUCGUUUCCCGGCGGCUGCGCUCUAUGUCUCUCGAUGACACGGACAUGGAAAAUGAUGUCGGCUUAGGCACAUUGAGCUACGCCAUUCGCACGCUGCCAUCUUACAUGAUAACACAGAUAUCAGUGCAGUGUGCGUACUUGCGGAGGGCUAACUGUAAGUGUUUAAGUAUUUAAGUCUGCACGCGUACAGGUGGAGGGCUAGCAUUGUAUUGUCUCGUCAAUGUGGGCUCCGAGGCAUUAUUAGCUGGGCUGCAACCCGACGUGCCAUCGGUAUGAAUGAACGCCACUUCCUCCAGACAUCCUUGCGGUUCAUACUUCAUAGCGAACCUUUCAAAAUCCAUGCGAUAGCGCAUAGGAGCAUUUGCAUGCAAUACCUUCGGCACGUUCAGUGUCCAUGCCCAGAGACGUCCCCACAUAGCGAAGGUUAAGUGCCACCGGUUCAAAUUAAAUGUGUGGGGUUGCUCGUGCCCUGGUGCAUCAAGGGCAGAUUGUCGCCCAAGCCUCAACACGAAACACAUCAUACCCACUCCCAUACCACAAACCACACCUGCCGUGUAUUAAAGGUAUGUCAAACAAGAUUUGUCCAGAUGUAAGCCCAUGAGUAGGUGGCAGACUUUGGCGACCUGAACGAGGGAAACUAGCUAAGUGAACCAUCCAGGUUCCUGUACACGUGUCAGCCCUUCGAUGUGAGGUGACAGUGGCAAGGAAAUACACGUAAAGUUAUCAUCAGACCCAGACAUAAUUCAAUAAAAUAGAGUCAAAGUUCAUGGACUCUUACUGCAGGCUAUCCUGUGUGUGCUUUAAAAAAUGCCUACUGCCUAAACGCCUUAGGGUACUGUCAUAACUUCACUGUUAUCAUAUGCCAACACGAGACAACAUCAGAGAGCUCGAAACAU
rnacentral:lncRNA from 1 species